rnacentral:rRNA from 1 species
AACGAACGCUGGCGGCAGGCUUAACACAUGCAAGUCGAGCGCCCCGCAAGGGGAGCGGCAGACGGGUGAGUAACGCGUGGGAACGUACCUUUUGGUUCGGAACAACUCCGGGAAACUGGAGCUAAUACCGGAUAAGCCCUAACGGGGAAAGAUUUAUCGCCGAAAGAUCGGCCCGCGUCUGAUUAGCUAGUUGGUGAGGUAACGGCUCACCAAGGCGACGAACAGUAGCUGGUCUGAGAGGAUGAUCAGCCACACUGGGACUGAGACACGGCCCAGACUCCUACGGGAAGCAGCAGUGGGGAAUAUUGGACAAUGGGCGCAAGUCUGAUCCAGCCAUGCCGCGUGAGUGAUGAAGGCCUUAGGGUUGUAAAGCUCUUUUGUCCGGGAAGAUAAUGACUGUACCGGAAGAAUAAGCCCCGGCUAACUUCGUG